rnacentral:rRNA from 1 species
GAUGAACGCUGGCGGCGUGCCUAAUACAUGCAAGUCGAGCGAACGGACGAGAAGCUUUCUUCUCUGAUGUUAGCGGCUGACGGGUGAGUAACACGUGGAUAACCUACCUAUAAGACUGGGAUAACUUCGGGAAACCGUAGCUAAUACCGGAUAAUAUUUUGAACCGCAUGGUUCAAAAGUUAAAGACGGUCUUGCUGUCACUUAUAGAUGGAUCCGCGCUGCAUUAGCUAGUUGGUAAGGUAACGGCUUACCAAGGCAACGAUGCAUAGCCGACCUGAGAGGGUGAUCGGCCACACUGGAACUGAGACACGGUCCAGACUCCUACGGGAGGCAGCAGUAGGGAAUCUUCCGCAAUGGGCGAAAGCCUGACGGAGCAACGCCGCGUGAGUGAUGAAGGUCUUCGGAUCGUAAAACUCUGUUAUUAGGGAAGAACAUAUGUGUAAGUAACUGUGCACAUCUUGACGGUACCUAAUCAGAAAGCCACGGCUAACUACGUG